UAAUACUGGAUAGGCAAUAAUUCCCGUAAUGCUUUUUUGUUUAAAGGUUUUUCGCCUAAGGAUGGGUCUGCGGCCGAUUAGGUAGUUGGUUAGGUAAUGGCUUACCAAGCCUUUGAUCGGUACGGUUUGUGAGAGCAAGAGCCCGGAGAUGGAACCUGAGACAAGGUUCCAGGCCCUACGGGGUGCAGCAGGCGCGAAACCUCCGCAAUGUGAGAAAUCGCGACGGGGGGAUCCCAAGUGCCAUUCUUAACGGGAUGGCUUUUCUUUAGUGUAAAAAGCUUUUGGAAUAAGAGCUGGGCAAGACCGGUGCCAGCCGCCGCGGUAACACCGGCAGCUCUAGUGGUAGCAAUUUUUAUUGGGCCUAAAGCGUCCGUAGCCGGUUUAAUAAGUCUCUGGUGAAAUCCUGUAGCUUAACUGUGGGAAUUGCUGGAGAUACUAUUAGACUUGAGACCGGGAGAGGUUAGAGGUACUCCCAGGGUAGAGGUGAAAUUCUGUAAUCCUGGGAGGACCGCCUGUUGCGAAGGCGUCUAACUGGAACGGUUCUGACGGUGAGGGACGAAAGUUAGGGGCGCGAACCGGAUUAGAUACCCGGGUAGUCCUAACUGUAAACGAUGCGGACUUGGUGUUG
rnacentral:rRNA from 1 species